UAUUAGAUUAUAGCGAUUGGGAAUCAUAAUUAAUAUUUGUGUUAAGAACAUAGUGAAUAUCAAGUUUCAAUUAAUUGCUAAUGCUUCUUGACUAGUUUAGACAUAAUAUUAAAUUUGAGUGUGCGUUUUUGUUGAAAUAUUUAUUAUAUAUAUGGUCGUAUUAUUGCAUUGCAUGAAAUUAAUUGAGUAACAAAUUUAAUUGAUAUAGCUGAUUUUGUUUCUAUAAUUUUAUCUUUGGAGUCUCAUCUCAUUGGACUCAAAAUGAUCCAAUCUUGGGAGAUAUAAAAUGAUAUUAUAAGGGAGUAUUUUUCUUUAGUAUUUAGGGUGGAUUCUCCUGAGUUUGGAUUUUUAUUCGGCUUGGUUUGAAUCGGAGCUAACCUUGCCAGUGAUUCUACUUCUUUGCAUGAUGCUAGAUUUGAAUAUGAAUGCUGGAGAAGGGGAACAUUUACAAGUUAUCUUCAUUGGCUAUUGUUCUUUGACAGGAAAUCCAAAUCUCAGUUUGUCUCUCUCGUAGUGGAGUUCUGUUACUUUUUAAGUUAUUGUUUGUGAAUUAGUGUGUAUUUACUCUAGAUAGAGUUUAUGAUUAAUACUCAGAACUGAUGCAGGCUCGCAAUGCUCAUGGGCUUUAUUGUGUUCCUUUGUAUGAUACUGUAGUGCUGGUGCUGUGGAAUUUAUGAUCUGCCAUUCAGAGGCAUCAAUUGCUUUUGUGGAGGAAAAGAAGAUUUCUGAAGUUUUCACGUUUACAUAAGUUCCCAUACAUCAUCUUAAUUAUAUUAUAUAAUUUAAUUAUUUAUUUUUAAUAAUAUCUAUUUAAGGUUCUACUUAAAAAAAGCAAGGACAUGAUAUUGCUAGACAACUUGAAGUCAUAAAGAGGUGAAAAAUUGAUGGUGUUCAGUUCAUCAAAAGGUAGUACUUACCAGUCUUGCCUAUUGAGAAUAUUUCAAGAUGAAGUUAGAUAUUGUGACUCGAAUGCUAACUCCAUUAGGCAAGUUUUAUUCAAAAGAUGUAGCUAACAAUGAAAAAUUACCUAUCUUUACCCAACUUGAGGGGAUAAAAAUUAAACAUUUAUUAGUUUUGAUCUUUAUUUUGUCAUUACUUGUGAUAUGUAUUUUUGUGUGUAAUUGAGUUUAAUUUAACUUUAGUGAGAGUCAGAUGUUGAAAUGGUGGAUGAGGUAGUUAUGAUAAAACAUUUCUUGCAAUAUAAGUGUCAACAUUAUGACUCUUUUGGCACUCCAUAGGAAGUAUGCCAGCAACCUUGAAAUAAAAUUAGAGGAUUGAAAUAAAUUGUAUAACCAUUUCAAGAGUGAACAAUUCAAGACAUUUCUUGAUUUUCUUCUAUCUUGUAGUGUGAAAUUGUUGACUCUCAAAAUGGUUACAAAAUUCAUUGUAAUCCUUUUCUUGUAUUUCAUUACGAGGGUGUUGUCAUGUAUACUGUGUGAACUACUUAAAAAACUAAUAAUGUUUAUAACAUCAAUAUUUAUAUUGCAAGGAACAUUUUGUUGUAGCUGUUUCAACUAUCAUUCUGGCAUAUGCGCUUUCAUUCAAGGUCAAAUUUAAUUCAGUAUGCAGGAGAGAAAUGAAAUGAUAACUUAGUGGAAAUAUAGAAAGGUAAGACACAUGAAAUGACAAAUAAAAACUAAUGAAUGAUUAAUAUAUAUUAUCUCAAGUUGGGUAAAGAUAAGUAUUAAUAUUUGAGUCAUAAUACCAAACUCAUCUUGAAAAUCUUUUCAGCAGGCCAAACUAAUAAGUAAUUCCCUUUAAUCAUCUUGACACCAUCAAUGUUCCACUUUGAUCCUUUUUUUGACUUAAAGACCUCAAGUAAUACCACAUCCUUUCUUUUUUUAAAUAGAAUCUUAGAUAGAUAUUAUUAAAAAUAAAAUAAUUAAUUAAAUAUUAAUAUAAUUAUGGAAAAAUAAGUUAAUAACUCAGCUUUUGCAUUUUAAUUUGCAACUAUUUGUUUCAUUUAAUGUACUCCCAAUUUGGUCAUGUAUAGAUGAAAUAGGAGGUACAGUGUUUGUCAAUGCAAGAGACCUUUCAGUAUGAAACAUUUUAGUAGGAGCAAAAUUUAUUGUGUUGUGAUGGA